GGAGAGAUGCCUGAGCGGUUUAAGGGGGCGGUCUCGAAAACCGUUGUGGCGCUAGCCGUCACCGUGGGUUCGAAUCCCACUCUCUCCGCCA
rnacentral:tRNA from 1 species